ACACACACACACACACACACACACCCUCCUGCCCUUCUCUCCACCCACAUCCACUCAGAAGGCUUGGAGGAAGAACCAGUAGCCUAAACAAACAAAGGAUGAUGGAGGAGGAGGAGCAGGAAUAAAGGGUCACCUUUGAACUGAAAGCCACUGUGUGAUACCAAGCUCUGCUUUCAAAGAGAGUUCUCCAAAACUCUGGGCUGGAGGUGACCUGGGCUUCUUCUACUGUCCAACAGAAAGCUCCUUCCUUACACCAGGGAGAAAUGUACAAUACUCAGUGUGGGAGAGCCAAACCUUAACGUUCGUGGAAUCAAAAUAGAGAGAAAACCUUAAUCUGACCUUGCGUGGAGGCCUUCAGCUUAGAAACACUAAUCAUUCCAAACUUUUCAGAAUUUGUUGGGCAGGACAGAAGAAGAACAAUUUUAAUGUGGCACAAAUAGUCUCCAAAGAUCUUAUGAAAGCAAGUAGCUAUAUUGGCUCCUGUAUCUUGGCAAUCUGGUCACAAAUGAUUUGAAUCAAGCAGGUUUGUUUACAAAUAUGAGUUGAUAGUUUUGAAAAGGACAGUUCUCAAAGGAAAUCUGCAACUGGAGAUUUGGCUGAAACCAAGACUGGCUCUCUAUACUUAGUUCACACACAAUGCACAGCCUUUUCCAGGACAGGGUGACUAAAGACUCACGGGGCAUCACCACCCAGCCUUGCACAGGGGAGAGAGAUUGAUGCUGUAGUUUUUCUUUAAUUAACACCUACCAUCAAUUUCAAGAAACUGAACACCACCGUAUACAUCACAGAUUGCAGCUCAUUCCUUCCUCCUUAGGGGUAACAGUGUCAGUAAUUUAUAAGGUUUACUACCUAUGUGGUUAUCCUGAAACAAUAUACAGUUUCAUAUCUACGUUUGAACUUUAUGAUCAUGGAGUUAAGCCAAUAUAUUCUUCUUUAACGACUUGUUCUUUUUAAUUCAAUACUGUGUGCGAUUGAUCACUGACAGGGCAUGUAAAUUUUUUUCAUAUUCACUGCUGCAUAGUAUUCCACUGUGUAAAUAUACAUCUUUUUCUUGAUAAAUCUAUUGGGGUUUUCCAGAGAAACAGAACCAAACUAUAACCUAUUAGCUCUGUUAUAAAUAGGUAAUUACUAAUAUACAUGAGCAUGGAAAUUGGCUCAUACAGUUGUGGAGGCUGAAAAGUUCCAUGCAUUUACAAAAGUUCCAUGCAUUUACAAAAGUUCCAUGCAAUUAUACCAUCAGUUCCCCUGGCCAAAGAUCCAGGGGAGCUGAUGGUGUAAUUCUAGCCCAAGUGUGAAGGCUUGAGAACCAGGGGAGCUGAUAAUAUAAAUUCUAAUCCAAAAGUAGAAGACAGAUGCCCCACCUCAAACAGGCAAGCAGGAGCAAAAAAGUGGUGAAUCCCUCCUUUCUCUGCCUUUUGCUCUCUUUAGGCCUUCAAUAGAUUGGGUAAUGCCCAUCCACACUGAAAAGUGUAGUCUACUGAGCCACCAGUUAAAAUGAUAAUCUCAUCCAGAAACCCCUUCAUAGAAAACCUAGAAAUAAUGUUUAAUCUCGGCACUCCAUGAUACACGUGUCAACUUAGGUUGACACAUAAAGAGUAACCAUCACAAAAAACCUUUAGGCUAUUUUUA
rnacentral:lncRNA from 1 species